rnacentral:rRNA from 1 species
AUUGAACGCUGGCGGCAGGCCUAACACAUGCAAGUCGAGCGGAUGAAGGGAGCUUGCUCCUGGAUUCAGCGGCGGACGGGUGAGUAAUGCCUAGGAAUCUGCCUGGUAGUGGGGGAUAACGUCCGGAAACGGGCGCUAAUACCGCAUACGACCUGAGGGAGAAAGUGGGGGAUCUUCGGACCUCACGCUAUCAGGUGAGCCUAGGUCGGAUUAGCUAGUUGGUGGGGUAAAGGCCUACCAAGGCGACGAUCCGUAACUGGUCUGAGAGGAUGAUCAGUCACACUGGAACUGAGACACGGUCCAGACUCCUACGGGAGGCAGCAGUGGGGAAUAUUGGACAAUGGGCGAAAGCCUGAUCCAGCCAUGCCGCGUGUGUGAAGAAGGUCUUCGGAUUGUAAAGCACUUUAAGUUGGGAGGAAGGGCAGUAAGUUAAUACCUUGCUGUUUUGACGUUACCAACAGAAUAAGCACCGGCUAACUUCGUG